AAUGAUUCCCCUAGUAACGGCGAGUGAAGUGGGAAAAGCUCAACUUUGUAAUCUGGCUGUCUUUGGCAGUCCGAGUUGUAGUCUAGAGAAGUGUUAUCCGCGCAGACCCUUAUAGAUUUCGGUUGGAAUGCCAAGUCAAAGAGGGUGAGAAUCCCGUAUUUGAUAAGGUGGUCUUGUGCAUUGUGAUACAUUUUCAAAGAGUCGAGUUGUUUGGGAAUGCAGCUCAAAGUGGGUGGUAAAUUCCAUCUAAAGCUAAAUAUUGGCGAGAGACCGAUAGCGAACAAGUACCGUGAGGGAAAGAUGAAAAGCACUUUGGAAAGAGAAUGAAAUAGUACCUGAAAUUGCUGAAAGGGAAACGAGUGAAGUUAGACUUGCGCAGUUGGUAUUCAGCCUUGGCUUCGGUCUUGGUGCAUUUGCCUUCUAUUGCAGGCCAACAUCAGUUUACUUUGCGGUAAAAGGGUUUGGGGAAUGUGGCUUCUUCGGGAGUGUUAUAGCCCUUUACUGGAUGCCGAAUCGUAGACUGAGGAACGCAGCGCGCCUUUAUGGCAAAGCUUCAAGCUCGAGCGCUAGGAUGU
rnacentral:rRNA from 1 species